rnacentral:pre_miRNA from 1 species
AAAGAUGAGCUCAUUGUAAUAUGAAAUGCAUAAAUGAAGCGCAUAUUACAAUGAGCUCAUCUUU